rnacentral:lncRNA from 1 species
CAUGUAAGCCCAAGGGCCAAACUAGCUAGAAUCCAAUGGUUUGGACCAGGGAUUGUCUCCCGGGCUCUGGCCAUACUUUGGAGGUUAAGAUAUUUUGAUAUUUUUUGUAAUAUAAAGUGGCUAUAGGAUUUGAAAAUGCGACGUGAAGAGGCUAAACAAUUAAACAAUCUAAUUAACACAAUGUUCCUUUCGAAUCCACCCUGCACAACUAGUAAAGGACAUGUACAUGAGCACUCACAAAAUAGAUAAACAAGAAAUAAGCAGCAAAUAUGGUACAACGGAAUUCACGGGAAACCGACGCCUAAAUUACA